AGCGUCCUACGGGGGGCAGCAGUAGGGAAUUUUGCGCAAUGGGGGAAACCCUGACGCAGCAACGCCGCGUGAGCGAAGAAGUAUCUCGGUAUGUAAAGCUCUAUCAGCAGGGAAGAAAAUGACGGUACCUGACUAAGAAGCUCCGGCUAAAUACGUGCCAGCAGCCGCGGUAAUACGUAUGGAGCAAGCGUUAUCCGGAUUUACUGGGUGUAAAGGGAGCGCAGGCGGCGCGCCAAGUCUGGUGUGAAACCCCGGGGCUCAACCCCGGGACUGCAUUGGAAACUGGCGGGCUGGAGUGUCGGAGG
rnacentral:rRNA from 1 species